rnacentral:snRNA from 1 species
GUACUUACCUGCAGGGGAAAUACCGUAAUCAGAAAUGCCCUCGGGGUGGGCUGCCCCCCUGCGAUUUCUCAACAUUUGGAAGCUCGCUGCACAGUGUGGUAGUGGGGCUGCGUCCGUGCUGUCCCCAG